ensembl:miRNA Mir7678 microRNA 7678
UUACAAGGGCUGGAUAGGCAGGAUCUAGCUGGUUCCUAUGUUGAAGGUCUUUCAUUACUUUCUCUUGUAGC